rnacentral:rRNA from 1 species
GACGAACGCUGGCGGCGUGCUUAACACAUGCAAGUCGAACGGAAAGGCCCUGCUUUUGUGGGGUGCUCGAGUGGCGAACGGGUGAGUAACACGUGAGUAACCUGCCCUUGACUUUGGGAUAACUUCAGGAAACUGGGGCUAAUACCGGAUAGGAGCUCCUGCUGCAUGGUGGGGGUUGGAAAGUUUCGGCGGUUGGGGAUGGACUCGCGGCUUAUCAGCUUGUUGGUGGGGUAGUGGCUUACCAAGGCUUUGACGGGUAGCCGGCCUGAGAGGGUGACCGGCCACAUGGGGACUGAGAGACGGCGCAGACUCCUACGGGAGGCAGCAGUGGGGAAUAUUGCACAAUGGGCGGAAGCCUGAUGCAGCAACGCCGCGUGCGGGAUGAAGGCCUUCGGGUUGUAAACCGCUUUCGCCUGUGACGAAGCGUGAGUGACGGUAAUGGGUAAAGAAGCACCGGCUAACUACGUG